AAGGAGUUAGUUAAAAUAUAACAUUAGAGUGUCAAUCUAAAAUAACUAAGUUAGUACACCUUG
rnacentral:tRNA from 1 species